rnacentral:precursor_RNA from 1 species
UAGGGGGGGAGACACUCCUCUCCGCACGCCAGCUUCUGCUCACUUGGCUGGCGUGGUCGGGUGCCUUGCUGGGCGUUUGUGGGCGUGUGUGGGCGUUGGGAUUCCGAAUGUUGGCCUGCAAACCCAGGCAAUGUGGCACGGUCGUGGGAAAUUCUCGACCCGAGACAGGUUAAAGUGAGCGUGGUUCUCGAGCCCUUCCCAGUCAUUUUUCCGAAAAGUCCUGGCUGCAGCCCUGACCAGGCAGGCGAUCAUGUAGCGGCCCUUUUCGAAUAUAUAUGGGGGGGGAGCAGCUCUCCACGCCAGUUUGACUCACUUUGGCUGGCGUUGGAGAGUGGUGCCUUGGGGGCUCCCCGCACCUGAUCGAAUUCUACCCGAGGCAAUGGGGCGUCAUCGCGCCGCUCCAUGGUUGAUUAGGAAAGUGGCCCGGCUGUGGGAAUGACAGCAGGUCAUGGAACUUCUCGACCCCAGACAGGACAAAGUGAGUGUGGUUCUCUCGCAUGCCCUUCGGACCAACGAACAAACCCUCCACCACCUUUGUGAUGGAUCUUUUGACUUUGGCCGGAAGGCUUGGGAGAGGGCCUUCCCGAAUGACCGAUCGGUCAUUCUUCCGAAAAGUCCUGGCUCAGCCCAGACCAGGCAGGUGGACGUGUAGCGGCCCUUUUCGAAAGUCCUGGCUCAGCGCAGACCAGGCAGGCGGACGUGUAGCGGCCCUUUUCGAAUAUGCAGGGGGAGAGCAGCUCUCCACGCCAGAUUUGACUUCACUUUGGCUGGCGUUGGAGAGUGGUGCCUUGGGGGCUCCCCGCACCUGAUCGAAUUCUACCCGAGGCAAUGGGGCGUCAUCGCGCCGCUCCAUGGUUGAUUAGGAAAGUGGCCCGGCUGUGGGAAUGACAGCAGGUCAUGGAACUUCUCGACCCCAGACAGGACAAAGUGAGUGUGGUUCUCUCGCAUGCCCUUCGGACCAACGAACAAACCCUCCACCACCUUUGUGAUGGAUCUUUUGACUUUGGCCGGAAGGCUUGGGAGAGGGCCUUCCCGAAUGACCGAUCGGUCAUUCUUCCGAAAAGUCCUGGCUCAGCCCAGACCAGGCAGGUGGACGUGUAGCGGCCCUUUUCGAAAGUCCUGGCUCAGCGCAGACCAGGCAGGCGGACGUGUAGCGGCCCUUUUCGAAUAUGCAGGGGGAGAGCAGCUCUCCACGCCAGAUUUGACUUCACUUUGGCUGGCGUUGGAGAGUGGUGCCUUGGGGGCUCCCCGCACCUGAUCGAAUUCUACCCGAGGCAAUGGGGCGUCAUCGCGCCGCUCCAUGGUUGAUUAGGAAAGUGGCCCGGCUGUGGGAAUGACAGCAGGUCAUGGAACUUCUCGACCCCAGACAGGACAAAGUGAGUGUGGUUCUCUCGCAUGCCCUUCGGACCAACGAACAAACCCUCCACCACCUUUGUGAUGGAUCUUUUGACUUUGGCCGGAAGGGUUGGGAGAGGGCCUUCCCGAAUGACCGAUCGGUCAUUCUUCCGAAAAGUCCUGGCUCAGCCCAGACCAGGCAGGCGAACGUGUAGCGGCCCUUUUCGAAAGUCCUGGCUCAGCCCAGACCAGGCAGGCGGACGUGUAGCGGCCCUUUUCGAAAGUCCUGGCUCAGCCCAGACCAGGCAAGCGUACUUGUUGCGGCCCUCUAUUCGAAUUUCCGUUCAUGCCUAGCGAUGCUUGGCAUUGCGUCACUUGAUGUUUCAUUGCCUGCUGCCAGUGGCAAGUGGGGGUGGACCGUCUCGUGGUGUGAUGUCUUGCGAACGUGAGGGUGUGUGAGUUGUGAUGAGGGUGUCCUUGUUGGCUGGCUCCAUGCCUUGUGCAUCGAACGGUCGAACAUGCAUCCUGUUCGUUUUGCUCCCGUUGCCUUGGGUGAUGAUGCCCGUUCAGUCCCUGUGUUGCCUACCUUCUAAACGGUAUACGUGUGGCCGGUUUUAGAAUUGUAUCCAUCCAGGCCUUCUCCGGUAGGUGUUGGAGGAUCCCAUCGUCUCGCACGCGUUCCAAAUGGGUGGCGUAAGAACCAUCUUCUUGGCUGCACGUGUUGGGACGGUUCUUUAGGAUGCGGUGAAUUACACGAACUCGGGUUUAGCGACCCGGGGACCAAAAAUCGGUUGCGUAGCUCGAUCGAGACACUGUGUUUGAACUUGUUGUGAGCAACAUCGUUCCUCACAAGCCGUCUUGUCGGGACGUGUCGGUUUGGUUUCGAAAGAGGGAACGACACCUUGAGCUGGCGCGUUUGGAACUGUGCAACGACUGUGGUUGGCCGCAACCCUGCGCGUGCAGCGCUCGGUCGUCAGCCACGAAUGCUACCUGGUUGAUCCUGCCAGUAGUCAUAUGCUUGUCUCAAAGAUUAAGCCAUGCAUGUGUAAGUAUGAACUAAUUCAGACUGUGAAACUGCGAAUGGCUCAUUAAAUCAGUUAUAGUUUGUUUGAUGGUAUCUACUACUCGGAUAACCGUAGUAAUUCUAGAGCUAAUACGUGCAACAAACCCCGACUUCUGGAAGGGAUGCAUUUAUUAGAUAAAAGGUCGAC